CUUGCUCCUCUGACGUUAGCGGCGGACGGGUGAGUAACACGUGGAUAACCUACCUAUAAGACUGGGAUAACUUCGGGAAACCGGAGCUAAUACCGGAUAAUAUAUUGAACCGCAUGGUUCAAUAGUGAAAGACGGUUUUGCUGUCACUUAUAGAUGGAUCCGCGCCGCAUUAGCUAGUUGGUAAGGUAACGGCUUACCAAGGCAACGAUGCGUAGCCGACCUGAGAGGGUGAUCGGCCACACUGGAACUGAGACACGGUCCAGACUCCUACGGGAGGCAGCAGUAGGGAAUCUUCCGCAAUGGGCGAAAGCCUGACGGAGCAACGCCGCGUGAGUGAUGAAGGUCUUCGGAUCGUAAAACUCUGUUAUUAGGGAAGAACAAAUGUGUAAGUAACUAUGCACGUCUUGACGGUACCUAAUCAGAAAGCCACGGCUAACUACGUGCCAGCAGCCGCGGUAAUACGUAGGUGGCAAGCGUUAUCCGGAAUUAUUGGGCGUAAAGCGCGCGUAGGCGGUUUUUUAAGUCUGAUGUGAAAGCCCACGGCUCAACCGUGGAGGGUCAUUGGAAACUGGAAAACUUGAGUGCAGAAGAGGAAAGUGGAAUUCCAUGUGUAGCGGUGAAAUGCGCAGAGAUAUGGAGGAACACCAGUGGCGAAGGCGACUUUCUGGUCUGUAACUGACGCUGAUGUGCGAAAGCGUGGGGAUCAAACAGGAUUAGAUACCCUGGUAGUCCACGCCGUAAACGAUGAGUGCUAAGUGUUAGGGGGUUUCCGCCCCUUAGUGCUGCAGCUAACGCAUUAAGCACUCCGCCUGGGGAGUACGACCGCAAGGUUGAAACUCAAAGGAAUUGACGGGGACCCGCACAAGCGGUGGAGCAUGUGGUUUAAUUCGAAGCAACGCGAAGAACCUUACCAAAUCUUGACAUCCUCUGACCCCUCUAGAGAUAGAGUUUUCCCCUUCGGGGGACAGAGUGACAGGUGGUGCAUGGUUGUCGUCAGCUCGUGUCGUGAGAUGUUGGGUUAAGUCCCGCAACGAGCGCAACCCUUAAGCUUAGUUGCCAUCAUUAAGUUGGGCACUCUAAGUUGACUGCCGGUGACAAACCGGAGGAAGGUGGGGAUGACGUCAAAUCAUCAUGCCCCUUAUGAUUUGGGCUACACACGUGCUACAAUGGACAAUACAAAGGGCAGCGAAACCGCGAGGUCAAGCAAAUCCCAUAAAGUUGUUCUCAGUUCGGAUUGUAGUCUGCAACUCGACUAUAUGAAGCUGGAAUCGCUAGUAAUCGUAGAUCAGCA
rnacentral:rRNA from 1 species